UGGGCGAUUUGAGAACCUCCAUAGCUCGUAAUGCGCGGUGGCCACUGGAUGGGUAUCGAAAUGAAUCAAGCUCAGAGCUGAAUGGUGCUAAGAGCGACUGGAUGAUCAUCUUCACUCUGCGUGUGUUACUGUUUUAACACAUUGAUGGUCAAACACAGCCUGAAUGGAAAGUCAUUUUGACCUGCUCCACAUUUUUACUUAAGAACUGCUUUUAACAAUAAGCCACUGGUGUACUUGUUUCUGGACUGACUUGAGUUUUUGGCACAAUAUGAAAAGCAUUUGGAAAGUAGUAUGUAUAUCAUGGCAAACAAGUGAACUAGAAUGAUAAAUGAUUAUACAAAUCUUGGACGACAAAUAGAAGCGAGUAGAGACAAAGGAUCAUCGUCUCUGACCAGAAGUCCCAUGCGGGCUGUUUGUUUCUUGGGACUCGGCUACGUCCAGAGAGAGGUUGCGCUUUCUUCGGAGGACUGGGAACCGCAGCCCAAACACAGAGCUCUGUGGCUGUGA
rnacentral:lncRNA from 1 species